AUGCCGAUGGUGGCCGCCGCUGCAGCAGCGCCGGACCAACCCUUCUUCUCCCAGCCCCGCCGCCCCCCACAGCCGCCUAGUCUCUUCUCCAUAAGAAAAGCCGCCCUCCCGCCGCGGUGCUGCAGCAGUCACUCCUCGCACUGUCGCUGCCACUGCUCCUGGAGCAGCAGCGCGCACGCGCGCAGGAGCAGCCAUUGCCGUGCCGGUGCAACGCCGGACCACCCGGACGAGCCGCCGCCGUCGGGCAGAGGCGGCCGUUACCAUCCUUGGGAGGACAUCGCCGAGAAGCUUCAGCUCGACGACGGAGAGCCGGCGCGCCUCACGGACGCUGAAUCCGCCCGGACAAUCGUCGAGGUGAACAACAAUGCAACGGUGAUGAUCUCCACGCUCAUCGAUGAUGGCGUGCACGAGAGGAUCAUCUUUCCGGAGUUCCCCUACUUGACCGACGAGAAUGGAGAUAUUUACUUCGAGGUCGACAAUGACGAUGCAGUCAUGGAAAACAUUAUGGGCGACGAUAAGAUUGCGCAUGUUAUCAUUGGACUUGAUAACACAGACGUCUUUGCUGACUUGGACCUAGCGGCGGCAUCAUCAACUGCAUUUGCACAAGAAGAAGAUGACGAUGAUUCUGACGAAGAUGAUGACGGCGAUUCUGAGGAUGAAUAUGAGGAGGAGGGCGUAUAUGCUGUUGAUGAAGAAGAUGAGGAUGACGACGGCGAUGAUGAUGAUGAAGAAGACGAUGCACCUAACUGGUCCAACCUUGAAACCGUAAAUUCCUGUCAUCCACUAUACUUUGCGAGGAUGAUUGUGGAGAAUGCGAGCAAAUCAAGUAUAGACUGGUUGGACCGGCCACCUGCAAGCCUUGUUGUUGAGGGUCAGCUGAGACCUGCGUUUCCUGAAGAGAGCACCAUGGUUUCCAGGCAUUUAUUAAAUGGUGAUGAGCCGCUGAAAGACGACAAAAAGGGAUGUGGGGCUACAUUUUUCAAGGUUGAAGUUCUGAGCAUUGAGCUGAUCACUGCAUAUGGUACAGAGCCCAAGGUAAAGAUAGAAGAAUACCGGAAAUCUAGGCCGGACAUCAUCGCGCACUCUGCACCGAACAUAAUAUCGCGCUUGAGAGCCAGUGGAGACAAGAUAACACAAGCUCUGAAAUCGCUCUGUUGGAGGUGCAAGGCCAUUCAAGUAGAGGAAGCAGCAAUCAUCGGCGUGGACUGCCUUGGGUUUGACCUGAGAUUGUGCUCGGGAACACAAGUGCAGACAUUGAGAUUUGCUUUCCCUACAAAGGCUACUUCGGAGUUCAGCGCAGAGAAGCAAAUAAACGAGCUUCUGUUUCCUAGGAGGACACAUCAAGAAGGGGAGUCACCACAGCCUCAACAGAAAGAGUACUGA
rnacentral:rRNA from 1 species